rnacentral:rRNA from 1 species
UACGGAGGAUUCGAGCGUUAUCCGGAUUUAUUGGGUUUAAAGGGAGCGUGGGUGGAUUGUUAAGUCAGUUGUGAAAGUUUGCGGCUCAACCGUAAAAUUGCAGUUGAAACUGGCAGUCUUGAGUACAGUAGAGGUGGGCGGAAUUCGUGGUGUAGCGGUGAAAUGCUUAGAUAUCACGAAGAACUCCGAUUGCGAAGGCAGCUCACUAGACUGUUACUGACACUGAUGCUCGAAAGUGUGGGUAUCAAACAGG